rnacentral:rRNA from 1 species
GACGGAGGCCCCGAGCGUUGUUCGGAAUCACUGGGCUUAAAGCGCGUGUAGGCGGGACGGUAAGUACCUUGUGAAAUCCCCGGCUUCAACCCGGGAACUGCUUGGUAUACUGCCGUUCUUGAGGCAGGUAGGGGUCGCUGGAACCUUAGGUGGAGCGGUGAAAUGCGUAGAUAUCUAAGGGAACGCCUGUGGCGAAAGCGGGUGACUGGGCCUGUCCUGACGCUGAGACGCGAAAGCGUAGGGAGCAAAC